rnacentral:rRNA from 1 species
UGGCGGCGAUAGCGCGGUGGUCCCACCUGACCCCAUGCCGAACUCAGAAGUGAAACGCCGUAGCGCCGAUGGUAGUGUGGGGUCUCCCCAUGCGAGAGUAGGACACUGCCA